rfam:Canis lupus familiaris chromosome 31, whole genome shotgun sequence.
GUGCUCACUUUGGCAGCACAAAUGCAGAAAUUGGAAUGAUACAGAGAAGAUUAGCAUGGCCUCUGAACAAGGAUGACAUGCAAAUUCAUGAAGCAUUACAUAUAAAG